GGAAUAUUGGACAAUGGGCGCAAGCCUGAUCCAGCCAUGCCGCGUGAGUGAUGAAGGCCCUAGGGUUGUAAAGCUCUUUUGUACGGGAAGAUAAUGACGGUACCGUAAGAAUAAGCCCCGGCUAACUUCGUGCCAGCAGCCGCGGUAAUACGAAGGGGGCUAGCGUUGCUCGGAAUCACUGGGCGUAAAGGGUGCGUAGGCGGGUUUUUAAGUCAGAGGUGAAAUCCUGGAGCUCAACUCCAGAACUGCCUUUGAUACUGAAAGUCUUGAGUAUGGGAGAGGUGAGUGGAACUGCGAGUGUAGAGGUGAAAUUCGUAGAUAUUCGCAAGAACACCAGUGGCGAAGGCGGCUCACUGGCCCAUAACUGACGCUGAGGCACGAAAGCGUGGGGAGCAAACA
rnacentral:rRNA from 1 species